rnacentral:tRNA from 1 species
GGGUUGUUAGCUCAGAUGGUAGAGCAGGUGACUCUUAAUCACCGGGUCGGGGUUAGUGAGUUUCCCUUUGACGCA